rnacentral:rRNA from 1 species
GACGGAGGGUGCUAGCGUUGUUCGGAAUUACUGGGCGUAAAGGGCGCGUAGGCGGCCGUUUGCGUCGGAUGUGAAAGCCCGGGGCUCAACCCCGGAACGGCAUCCGAUACGGGACGGCUGGAGACCGGGAGAGGAGGGUGGAAUAGCCAGUGUAGAGGUGAAAUUCGUAGAUAUCGAGAGGAACACCGGUGGCGAAGGCGAGUCCCUGGACAAUUCCUGACACUGAGGCACGAAAGCUAGGGGAGCAAACAGG